AUUGAACGCUGGCGGCAGGCCUAACACAUGCAAGUCGAACGAGUGGCGGACGGGUGAGUAAUGUCUGGGCACCUGCCUGAUGGAGCGGGAUAACUCCUGUAAACGGUAGCUAAUACCGCAUACCAUCAGAUGUGCCCAGAUGGGAUUAGCUUGUUGGUGGGGUAAAGGCUCACCAAGGCGACGAUCCCUAGCUGGUCUGAGAGGAUGAACGGCCACACUGGAACUGAGACACGGCCCAGACUCCUACGGGAGGCAGCAGUGGUGAAUAUUGCCCAAUGGGCGAAAGCCUGAUGCAGCCAUGCCGCGUGUAUGAAGAAGGCUUUCGGGUUGUAAAGCACUUUCAGCGGGGAGGCGUUACCCGAAGAAGAAGUACCGGCUAACUCCGUGCCAGCAGCCGCGGUAAUUC
rnacentral:rRNA from 1 species